rnacentral:rRNA from 1 species
CAGUAGCCGCGGGAAUACGGAGGGUGCAAGCAUUAAUCGGAAUUACUGGGCGUAAAGCGUGCGUAGGCGGUUCGUUAAGUCUGUUGUGAAAGCCCCGGGCUCAACCUGGGAAUGGCAAUGGAUACUGGCGAGCUAGAGUGUGUCAGAGGAUGGUGGAAUUCCCGGUGUAGCGGUGAAACGCGUAGAGAUCGGGAGGAACAUCAGUGGCGAAGGCGGCCAUCUGGGACAACACUGACGCUGAGGCACGAAAGCGUGGGGAGCAAACAGGAUUAGAUACCCCUGUAGUCCCUGUCUCUUAUAC